UCAUGCUGAGCGUGCCCACUGUAUAGCCUUGAGCGAGUCAACAAAAAAGUUGAUCAUUAUCCAGAUCAGUCUGUGGUCCAGGUUUGGUGAUUAAACAUUAAAACAGGACAGACAGACAGACUGGAAGCACAUUUCCUUUGACCGCCCACCCUGCAUGGCCCCAUAGCCUCAAUCAGCAAGGACGAAGCAAAGAGAAAGGAGCGCUUGUUUACUGGCACUUCUUCCAGUCAGCUCCACGGGCAGAAUGUGCAGCACUCCAGCAUGGAUCUUAAUCACAUUACUCAGCUCCCACCAAGACAAAAGCACACCCCACCCAACAGCGCAGGAUGCUUUGCACUCAUUUCCUUUGCAGAACUGGAUUAAGAGCCCUGAAAUGUGAUGAGUGGUUGGGAGACGGUGCUCUCCGCAGCUGCGAUGACGCUGUAAAUGUGAACCAGAAACUGCAGUGUAGAGCCCCGGAGGUGUGGGGAUGAAGUUAUGUGGUCUCUGGGAGGUGAUUGUUUGCGAGUGUUUGGGAGGGGGGGCCGGGAGGUCUGGUGUAUCAGUCGCACAGUGACAGUCUAUCAAAGGCCCUUUGUGUUCCUACCUCUGAGAGGGAGCAGCUGUGAGUCUCAGCACGACUCAGCGUUCGACCACAGCCACAUGCCCCACUGAUCUCCCAUGCUGCCCUCUGCUCUUCUCCUGUCCUCUCAGGCAGCUAAAGACAAGAUAACAGUAUGCUGUGACCCGGUUUCAGGCACCUCAGGGUGCAUCUAGGUGUUACUCACUCACCUGCUGGCGACCUGUCUCUCUCCUCCAUGGUCCUGCAUCCGCUCGGCGAGCAGAGCUGAUGCGCUCUGAUCCGCUGGAGUCUGCGGGGGGAACCGAUGGAUGGAUCUCCUCGUUUGAUGGAAGUUAUCGAUCAGUUAUAGGCCUAGGUGCUAAGAAAACCGUACAGUUCCAUUAAACACACCAAAAACCUUGCAGUUUCACAGAGUGACAAAGCUCGGAUGAGGUUCCGUCGUUGCGCUUUGCCUUGUGCCCGCCCCGAGACGAUUCCCGUCCUGUUUCUGGAGAUGCUCUUCAGUUUGUGACUUUCUUCGGAGGCGGAUUAAAUCAAGAGCAUCAUCUGAUGCUGGAUGCUGAGCUGAGGACACAGGCUGGGAUCCCUCCUCUGAGCGCCCACCAUCUCAACCUGCCAAGCAGCGGGAGGAGGGUGCGUGUUUAUCUUUCGCUCCUCCAGUGGUCCGCAUGACCCAGUUAAGCACCACACACACACACCGAGACGGACCCAUUCAUUCACAUCCACACAGGGGGGCUCAACAGAUCUCUGCUCUCUGCAGCGUGCAUGGACGAAUCUCCAUGCCCCCACUCUCUCCAAACUCUGCGUCUUUGCUCUCACUGUCGGCUUGUCAGUCUGUUCUGUCCGUCGGUCCGGCGGGACUCUGGGGUUGAGGAGGUAGGGGGUUUGGUCUCAGAUGUUUCUCCUCUGCUGGUCCUACCAGUCAGCUCCCUCAUUGUUCACCGUCUCCACCCUCUGGCAAACUAAAUACGCUCACGUGUCCCGGGUCCUAGCGCCUGGACGCUCCCCAUCCAACCAUCCAGCCUCAAUGCGUCCAUGAGCUUUUUUACUUUUGAUUCAUGCGCUGAAGGACCGAGCUGCUCCACUCUUGCAUAAUUCAACAGCUUAUGGCCUCAAGUACUUCACGCGGUGACUUUGCCAACUGUCCUUAUUAGGUAACAGCGAGGCAAGACUUUCAAUUAAUUCACUGCCCUGGCAGCUCCAACCUUUUACUGUACAUGUUUAACAACAGGCCUCCUGCCAGGCGUGUUUGCCAACCAAAACAGAUUGGACUGAGAAAACAGCAUCGGGAUAACCUGAACGCAUCAUCACCAAACACCACUGAUCAGAUGGGCUGAGAGAGGUGAAAUGAUUGGAGGCUGUUUUACAUAAAUAAAGAUUGUUAAUGACGUUAAUUGGUAAAUAUUUUACUUUCUCCCAUCUUUACCUCAAAUCAGACCCCCAAAGUCACACAAUAACUUAUUUUAUUGUCUAUAACUGAUUGUUUUUCUUUCUUGCAUAUACUUAAAGCUAUGCAGGUCAGGCUCCUACCCAGGCUGAGGUAUGAAGAGUGAAAGAUAAGCUGUUUUCAAGCAGUCCAUGAUCAGAAAGAAAGAAAAAAAAAAAGUCAGUACAGGGGAAUAUGAUCUUCCUGUUUCCUGAAACUAAAUAAUUUGACCUGGGGUGUUUUUUAUCCUUGUUGAGGAGGUGGGUGGAUAUUGAAUAGCUGCAUCUUCAGCACCUCUUUGAGGCAUUCAGGUGUCUCACACGGCAACACAGUUGGGCCAAACAGGCAGUGAGGCGAAGAGUUUCCUCGGGGUUAUCUGGGGAAGAGAGCUGUCAUAAAUCAUAAUAGUGAAGGUCAAGCACUGUGGGCUGACAGCGGAGAGCACCGAGGGUCAAACACACCGGGGGGACACACACCUCUGAGCUGUGAACAAAUAGAGCAGGGCUGCUCCUCCCCUCUCCUCCCUCUCUCACCUCCCCACUCCUUUUUCACACACCAGAUUCACGUCCUAGUUUUUACUUUUUAUGUGUCACCUCAAGUUUUCCAAAUCUUGUUGCAAGGGGGUGGCCUUGUUUUUUUUCCACUGUCCUCAAAUGUAUCUUUGUACUUUGUGUUCUAGCUGCCCUAUAAACUGCAGUGUCACUGUGGAUGGAUAUUUACACAGGGCCUCAGGCUGAGAGGGGUCUAUUGAAAUUUGUAAUGUCUUUUGUCGACCAUGAUUUGUGAAACUAUGACUAAAAUCUACAAAUAAACUAAAAAAGUGUAGUGUAGAAAGCUCAACCCUGUCCUCAGACCUCAGGGCAUUGGUCUGACCCUCCACAUUAUCCCCUCUCUGUGUCUUACUGUCACCUUUUCAGUCUCACCUGGCUCCACAAAGGUAGAAAUGAUUUUCUGACAGCAGUCACAAUUGCAUUUAUUCUUCACAAUCCAAAAACAGAAAAAAGCAACUCACAGCCACAUCAACCCUCCCCCACCAAAUCUUAUAGUCCUCUCCUCUGCUGACUCCAAAUAAAGCCCUACAAUACCUCA